GAUGAACGCUAGCUACAGGCUUAACACAUGCAAGUCGAGGGGUAACAAGAGAAAAGCUUGCUUUUCUUGUUGACGACCGGCGCACGGGUGAGUAACGCGUAUCCAACCUGCCUAUAACUAGGGAAUAACCUUGCGAAAGUAAGACUAAUACCCUAUGAUUUCCUUUGAUGACAUCAGAUUAGGAAUAAAGAUUUAUCGGUUAUAGAUGGGGAUGCGUCUGAUUAGCUUGUUGGCGGGGUAACGGCCCACCAAGGCAACGAUCAGUAGGGGUUCUGAGAGGAAGGUCCCCCACAUUGGGACUGAGACACAGUCCAAACUCCUACGGGAGGCAGCAGUGAGGAAUAUUGGUCAAUGGGCGGAAGCCUGAACCAGCCAAGUAGCGUGCAGGGUGACGGCCCUAUGGGUUGUAAACUGCUUUUAUACAGGAAUAAAGUUAGCCACGUGUGGUUAUUUGUAGGUACUGUAUGAAUAAGGACCGGCUAAUUCCGUGCCAGCAGCCGCCGUAA
rnacentral:rRNA from 1 species